UACAGACCAUCCAUCCAAGAUCAUCUGCCUCGGUAAGGAUCUGUUGCAGCUUUGUGUCACUGACUGUAUUUCUUCAAACUCCUGUUCCGUGUCACAUAGCUUAUGCAAGACUGAAUCAAUGAAGAUGCUGUAACCAUAAAGCAACCAGGACAACACACCUGGAGUGACCGAGAGCAGGAUGAAGAAAGAAUCGGAUGAGAAAAUAUCAACUGGUGUCCAUGAGGAGACACAUUGUUCUUGGACCUGCUUUUUCUGUUUAGUAAUAAGUGGUUUUAUGUGGUUACAUAAAAGUAAUUUAAUAUUCAAUCCACAAGCUAAAUUUCCUACAUUUUCUUAAAAAGGUAGUUGACCCAAAAAGGAAAAUUCUGUCAUUUACACAAACAGUUUGGUUACAAACAUUUCUCACAAUAUCUCCCUUCCUGUUUAUCAGAACAAAGAAAUGUAUGCGGGUUUGUAACAACAUGAGAGAGUGUGUAAAUGAUGACAUAAUUUUCAUUUUUGGGUGAAGUACCCCUUUAACAUUUUUAUACCCAGGGGUAGGGGUGUGCAGCGGAGGCAGUAUUUGUAUCUGUAUUUGUAUCUGUAACAGUCUCAAAAUUAUAUGUAUCUGUAUUUGUAUUCGGAUGGAACCGGAAGUGGGCGGGUCUUAAACCGGAAGUUUGUCAUAUUACAUUAAAAUGGCAUUUUAAAUGCAUUUUUGCUUUUUAUUAUAAUUAUAACUUAAAUAACUGUAAAUAUUUAUUAAAAAUAAUAAUACAAAAUUUUAAUCAAAAAGACAAAUAACUUGAUUCUCGUUAGUAAUACCCAUGGAAAGCAAACAACUCAUUUUUAAAGCCUCAUACAGCUUGUGCUAUAGCAUCAUUGUAUUGUAGCAUUAAAAUAACAAACUUGAAAGCACGUUGACAAAACUGUAGGCUACAUCACCUUUAAAUGUUUAUUGUGCCUGUCAGCACAGUUCCAUGAGACCCAUUCUUUCUAAAUGAGUGCGAUGUUUUCAGAAAAAAAUAAGUAGCCUACAUUAAUCCCUCAUCUAGCGAUUCAAAUAUAGUAAUUAAACAUCUAAAAUUAUCGUUAUUUGUAAGUUUUCUAAAAGAGUGAAAUAUAACCUAAUACUACUCAUCCAUGUCUGACAUCUUGGUUUCAGUUUAAAAACAUGCAGGAAUUUGAAAAUAAAAUGCAGGACUUGCUUGAUGUUUAAGGGAGAUAAAGUUCGGGAAAUGAUUUAUGUUAAAAAAGUUAUUAAGAUCGACAAACUCGCGCUGACUGACAGAUCCGAAAUGCAACGCAGAGACACGCAAGUGGCGCAGUAUAUGCACAGAAUAGUUCAAAAACAUCUGUUUUGAUAAGAAUUUACGAAAGCAUAAUAAGCAUUAGAAAAAACUUGCUGAUCUCAUUUUUAUCUAUGUCCAUAUUAAUCUUCAUCUAAAUAAAUAAAUAAUCAGAUAUUUGUUUAAAUUUUUAAAUAACAGUAUGAUCUAUUAAAAAUCAGUUUUGACUUCAAAACCAGCGACAUGAUUUAAAACAAUAAUGUAAUUAGAAAUAUUUAAUUCAAGUGUUUCAGUUGUUAUUUGCUUACUUUAUUUUUAUGUUAAUUGCGAUUCAUGUCAUAGUAUUCUUCAGUUUAAAUUUUGCUUUUAAAAUGUUACAUUUUCAUAUUUUUAUCUAUUUACUUAUUUAUUUUAUAUUCACCUAGAUUGACAAUAAAGCUUGCUUCGACUAGAAGUAAUUAAAAUAUCAUCUACCGGUGCCACAGAGAUACAGAGUUAUUAACGAAUAUUUUAUUAUCAGAGUGCAGCAUUUUAUCAAGGUUUUCUGGUCUAAUUAAAUAAAACGGAUUUUUUUUACAGUUGGGUUAAAAGAAGUUUGACAUUAGCAGCGUUUUUAAGAUUUUAAACUAAUUCCAAAACAGCUCGCGUUUCUAAAUAAGGGUUGCGCCGAAAAUGUCAUUUUACAGAUUGCACUCAUUCUCUUCACACAAAUAUUAUUCGUGCUUUAAAGGGUUUAUAAUUUAGAGCUGUUCCAGUAAACACGUGAUUAUGUCUGGCCGAAUAUUUUCUCUGUUAUUCGGAUGAAUUCGUUAUUCGUUUUGAAGCUAUUAUCCGUGCCCUUCCGAAUAACGUUUUCGGCUUCGGGCACAUCCCUACCCAUGGGUAAAAGAAAUGUAUGUUAAACAUUUUUAGUUUGUCUUUUUUUGUUACUGCUACUUUCAACAAGACUAAUUAUUCAGCCAAGCUUAUUUUGUACUUUAAGAAAUGAACAGCUUUUAUGGGUUUUAAGACACAGAUAUGUGCUCACAGUUUGCCCAUAUAGAAUGCCCAGUGGUCCCACAAUUUUCCCGCAGUAUGCCCACAUUUUUCCCACGUAUUUGUAUUUAAAUAAAUUUUUCCACACAGUA